UACGUAGGGGGCAAGCGUUGUCCGGAAUUACUGGGCGUAAAGAGUGUGUAGGCGGUGCUCCAAGUCUGGUGUGAAAUCUCCCGGCUUAACUGGGAGGGUGCAUUAGAAACUGGAAUGCUAGAGGAUGGGAGAGGUAAGUGGAAUUCCCGGUGUAGUGGUGAAAUGCGUAGAUAUCGGGAGGAACACCAGUGGCGAAGGCGACUUCUUGGCCUGUUCUUGACGCUGAGGCGCGAAAGCUGGGGGAGCAAACGGG
rnacentral:rRNA from 1 species